rnacentral:rRNA from 1 species
GAGAAAGAGAAGCAGGGCGUACGGAGGAUGCCUUGGCUUCGGCAGGCGACGAAGGACGUGGUAAGCUGCGAAAAGGUCCGGGGAUCCGCAAACAGGACGUGAUCCGGACAUAUCCGAAUGGGGCAACCCACACGGUUGAAGACCGUGUACAGCGAACAGCUGGGCGAACCCGGGGAACUGAAACAUCUUAGUACCCGGAGGAGAAGAAAGAAAUAGUCGAUUCCCCCAGUAGUGGCGAUCGAAGAGGGAAGAGCCUAAACCGCCGUGUUCACGGACACGUCGGGGUUGUAGGACCAAGCGACAGGCAUCAGUAUCUGAACCGGAAGCUUCUGGAAAGCUGCGGCGCAGACGGUGACACCCCGGUACGGGCAAGGAGACUGAUGCGAGCAUGGCACCUGAGUAGGGCGGGGCACGUGGAAUCCUGUCCGAAUCCGCGGGGACCAUCCCGCAAGGCUAAAGACUGCCGAAGACCGAUAGCGAACCAGUACCGUGAGGGAAAGGUGGGAAGAACCCCUGGCAGGGGAGUGAAACAGAACCUGAAACCGUGCGCCUACAAGCGGUUGGAGCCCUAGCGAUAGGGUGACAGCGUGCCUUUUGCAUAAUGAGCCUACGAGUUGCUUCAGUGAUGCGAGGCUAAGCCAUUCAGUGGCGGAGCCGUAGCGAGAGCGAGUCUGAAUAGGGCGUAUGAGUAUCACUGAGCAGACGCGAAACCUAGUGAUCUACCCUUGUCCAGGGUGAAGGUGAUGUAACAGUCACUGGAGGCCCGAACCAGUUUCCGUUGAAAAGGGCUUGGAUGAGAUGAGGGUAGGAGUGAAAGGCCAAUCAAACUGGGAGAUAGCUCGUACUCCCCGAAAUGUCUUUAGGGACAGCCUCGUCCGCGCAUGCGUUAGGUAGAGCUACCGAUUGGAAGCGAGGGCUUCGCCGCCUAUCAAUUCCAGACGAACUCCGAAUGAGCGCAUGUUAAGGGACGGGAGUGAGUCGUCGGGUGCUAAUAUCCGUCGGCGAGAGGGUAAGAGCCCAGACCUCCGGCCAAGGCCCCCAAGAACGGUCUAAGUUGAGACAGAACGAAGUGACACCGCAUUGACAGCUAGGAUGUUAGCUUGGAAGCAGCUAUUCAUUCAAAGAGUGCGUAACAGCUCACUAGUCGAGCGGAGUCGCGUGGAUGAUGAUCGGGCAUCAAGACCGUCGCCGAAGCCGAGGACGCGUACCGUAAUGGUAUGCGUGGUAGGGGAGCAUUCCGGUCGGCGCCGAAGGUGAACCGUGAGGUUUGCUGGAGCGUCCGGAAACGAAAAUGUAGGCAUGAGUAACGACAAUGAAUAUAGAAAUAUUCACACCGAAAACCCAAGGUUUCCUGAUCUACGCUAAACGGAUCAGGGUGAGCCGGGAGCUAAGCCGAACCCGAAGGGGUCAGGUGAUGCACAUGCGGUUAAGAUUCCGCAGCCCGGGAUGCAGGGUAGGUGGUGACCGAGGAGUGACACAGCCGCGCGCUGACGGAAUAGCGCGUUGAAGGGAGUAGGGCGACCGAACCCCGACAGUACGGAGAGCAUUCGUGCGAUCCGACAGAGCUGGUAACCAUACUCGCGAGAAAAGCCGCCAUACCGCCAAGCGCAUUCCGGCCCGUACCGUAAACCGACACAGGUGGGUGAGGAGAGGAUCCUAAGGUGCUCGAGUGAAUCACGGCCAAGGAACUAGGCAAAUUGACCCCGUAAAUUCGGGAGAAGGGGUCCCUACGUGAGUAGGGCGCAGAGAAAUGGCCCAGGCGACUGUUUACCAAAAACAUAUGGCUAUGCGAAAUCGUUAAGAUGACGAAUAUGGCCUGACACCUGCCCGGUGCCGGAAGGUUAAGAGGGGGGCUUAGCGCAAGCGAAGGUCUGAAUCGAAGCCCCGGUAAACGGCGGC